UACGGAGGGGGCCAGCGUUGUCCGGAUUUAUUGGGCGUAAAGAGCGUGUAGGCGGCCAUACAGGUCCGUUGUGAAAACUGGAGGCUUAACCUCCAGACGUCGAUGGAAACCGUAUGGCUAGAGUCCGGAAGAGGAGAGUGGAAUUCCUGGUGUAGCGGUGAAAUGCGCAGAUAUCAGGAAGAACACCCGUGGCGAAGGCGGCUCUCUGGGACGGUACUGACGCUGAGACGCGAAAGCGUGGGGAGCGAACAGG
rnacentral:rRNA from 1 species